AUCAUUUGACUUUUGGCAGAGACAAUUGUGCAUGUUCUUGAUUUUGACUAAACCUGUCAGUCAUACAUCACAUCUCAAACAUUAUUUCUGUCAGGGGUUACCGUUCAGUAAAUGGCCGCUUAGUCGUGUCAUAAAUAUGCAAUUGCUUAAUGCCAUGUGUGUUCAAUUUGAAGUAUACAUUAAAAAAAAUAAACAUUUUCUUGUAUUGCUUUUAUAAAGCUUCAGAAACAUUUUGGCAAUAGAAAAAGGGAAAAUAAUAAAGUUAAAUAAACCCAACAACUGUUUAGUGUUUCUGAUAGACUUAGACUUAAAACAUGAUUUAAUUUUUACUUUCAUGAUUUAAAAACAGGAUUUUAACAAAUAUUAAAUAACUAUAUAUGUAUUAUAUUAUAUAUGCAAUCCCCCCCCACACACACACCCCUUUGUGAAUAGUUGUGCAAGUGGGGGUACAUUGUCUUGCCCAAUAUGUCAAGACUCAGGGUCAAUCGGAGGAUGAGACUGAAUUGCAAAAAAAUUAUUGCUAUCAUUCUGCUAUAUCAGUGUGCACACAUGUACAUAUCCGCAUAUCCGGCAAUUAAAAAAUAAAAUCAUUUCUGAGUGUUACCACUUCAUAUGCACCAUAGCUUAGCUGUGCAAUAGGUUUUGUUAAAGCCGGUUACAGGUUUUCCAGGAAAUCUUGAAGACUUUUGUUCUCUGGAGCUCUUCAACUGUACUUUGGCAGGUCUGAAGAUCAUGUAGGACUUCCUCUGAACAUGUUUUGUUUCUUACUGUAUUUGCUUUAAAUUGUCUAAUUUAAUGAGAUGUUAUAUUGAGAAUCUCUUUAUCUCUCUGACUUUAAUGAUACAGAAAAAUCAGUAGUUGUUUGGUGGAUUUCAUAAUUAAGCAAAGUCUUUGUUAAUUACUAAAAAAAAUAUCUCAGGAUUGAGCUUCAAUUGACAUACACCAGUAGUAAUGACAUUGUAGAAACGUGUUAAUGUUCUUCUUAAACAGAAAACUUACUUGAAUGCCACUGAAUGGGAACUGUUAACCAUAAUUGCAGGUUGUGGUCCAACCCAAAUUCUAAGUUGUAGUGCUGAGGGUGAAACCAGGGGAGCUACAUGGGCGUUGUGGGUGACAAGGUCAUCAGCAUGGCCUAUGUUAUGUUUAGACUUUUAAGAACUUGUUGGACAGCUGGUUGACUUCAUGGUAAAAUGGCUUCAGGUACUUUUAAAUUGAGAUGGUCCUCUAGGAGAACCCAGUCACAACCAUUUGGUUCAAGUUUAGCUUGUUAAGCUGACUCGAUAAAAAUAAAAAGUGUAAAAGUUGCAAAUUUAUCACCAAGCACAGACAUGCAACAUCAGGCUUUUUCAGAAGGAGAUGGCUACAGGUACAAGACUCGUAUUCCAAGCAGUAAUGGCUACAGGUUUGAGAUAUUUCUGCUCAGAACAAAGUAUCAUUAUAUAACAAUGUAUUAAUAUUGUAUUGCAAGACUGCUAACCCAGUAAUAAUGGUAACAAUCCAUACUGUAUCUGUAUUUUAAUUUAUUGUGGUUAUAACACAUAAGACUUCAUGAGAUUGCUGCCAUGUGCAGUUUUCAUCAAAAUCAUUUUCAAUCAAAAUUCAAAUAGAUUAGUUUAGAUUAGAUAGAACUUUAUUGAUCCCUUGGGAAGAGUCCUUCUAAGAAAUUGAGGUUCCACCAGCAUUGUAAAGCAGCGCAGAGGGUAAGAAGCGCACAGAGUAUCAAAAAAAAAAAAAAAAAAAAAAAAAAAAUCACCAUUUUUUGCAAAUGAAAUUA